rnacentral:lncRNA from 1 species
AAGCGUGCGAGAGAGCGAGGUGCACCAGCGGGCAUGGAUGGCCUGUGCAGAGUCCAGUCUUGUGAGGGCGGCGAACUAGGCAGCGAAUCGCGGGAGUUUCCUAUUGGCAGCAGUCCGAGUCCCAGACGUUAAUUUGUAACAAAAGUAGCGAUGGCCAAGCCCAUAAAGGGGGCAUCUCGGAAAGCCGUUCGCAUGCACGGAAGAGAUGAAAGCCCCGUGCGCGCUAGAAAACGGUUUCGCAACUCACUUCGGGAAGCAAAUGCGCUGCCCCCCAAAACAUAAAGUUGGCGAACUGUGCCUGACCCCGCUGGGGUUUUGGAAUGCCUCGUCCUCACAGGAAAAAAAUCCAGGGAAAUCAUCUUUUCCUUAAAAAGCAAAAGUGUCCAAAUUAUUUCUGUGACUGAAGUAGUUUGUCUGCGGUUGGCCAGUGACAUGGCAAGGCCUUGUUUGUGCAUUUAAGGUAAAUCAGAUUCUCUUCUAGGAGUCUGGAAGAGAACUUCCCCAAAGGGCACCCUCUUUCCCUUCUGACACAGAGGAAAUACCACAUAUAAAGAGCUACAAAUGUUUGAAGGAGAAAAAAAAUAAAGAAAAAUUCCAGCAUGUUAAAAUUUGAUAUUUUAUGUAGGCCCUUUUCAGCAAUGGUAGUUAAUUCCAAAAAGAACCACACGAGAGGUUUCACAUGUGGGGUCAUCCAUCCUUCCAGGGAUGCAGAAGGUUCCUACACAUACUAGGUGUCUGAUGAAUGUGAGCUCCCUUCCCCCUGCUUACCUCCUCCAUAGGAAUGCAUGCCUAUCCAGAAAAACACAAAACACACGCAUGUCAGGCCUCUGAGCCCAAGCCUGCACAUAUACAUCCAGAUGGCCUGAAGCAACUGAAGAAUCACAAAAGAAGUGAAAAUGCUGAAGCAACUGAAGAAUCACAAAAGAAGUGAAAAUGGCCGGUUCCUGCCUUAACUGAUAAGACAGUCACCUGUCCUCCUGCUCUUUGCUCUGUGAGAAAGAUCCACCUACAACCUCGGGUCCUCAGACCAACCAGCUCCAGGAACAUCUCACCAAUUUUAAAUUGGGGUAGACCAUCCAGUACUAUGUUAAAUAGCAGUGGUGACUGUACACCC